UACAGAGGGUGCAAGCGUUGUUCGGAAUUAUUGGGCGUAAAGGGCGCGUAGGCGGUGCGGUAAGUCUGUAGUGAAAUCUCUGGGCUCAACUCAGGGUCUGCUAUAGAAACUGCCGUGCUUGAGUGUGGGAGAGGUGAGUGGAAUUCCCGGUGUAGCGGUGAAAUGCGUAGAUAUCAAGUGGAACACCAGUGGCGAAGGCGAGUCUCUGGACAUUUCCUGACGCUGAGGCACGAAAGCCAGGGGAGCGAACGGG
rnacentral:rRNA from 1 species